rnacentral:misc_RNA from 1 species
UCUCCGUAGGUGAACCUGCGGAGGGAUCAUUACUGAGUGAGGGCUUCGGUCCGACCUCCAACCCUUUGUGAACCAAACUUGUUGCUUUGGGGGCGACCCUGCCGCUUCGGCGGUGUGGCGCCCCCGGAGGCCAUUAAACACUGCAUCAUCGCGUCGGAGUUAAAGUAAAUUAAACAAAGCUUUCAACAACGGAUCUCUUGGUUCCAGCAUCGAUGAAGAACGCAGC